UACAGAGGGUGCAAGCGUUGUUCGGAAUUACUGGGCGUAAAGCGCGUGUAGGCGGCGUGGUAAGUCGGAUGUGAAAUCCUUCGGCUCAACCGAAGAAGUGCAUUCGAUACUGCCUCGCUUGAGUAUCGGAGGGGAUGGCGGAAUUCCCGGUGUAGAGGUGAAAUUCGUAGAUAUCGGGAGGAACACCUGUGGCGAAGGCGGCCAUCUGGACGAAUACUGACGCUGAGACGCGAAAGCGUGGGUAGCAAACAGG
rnacentral:rRNA from 1 species